rnacentral:rRNA from 1 species
AUUGAACGCUGGCGGCAGGCCUAACACAUGCAAGUCGAGCGGAUGACGGGAGCUUGCUCCUUGAUUCAGCGGCGGACGGGUGAGUAAUGCCUAGGAAUCUGCCUGGUAGUGGGGGACAACGUCUCGCAAGGAACGCUAAUACCGCAUACGUCCUACGGGAGCAAGCAGGGGACCUUCGGGCUUCGCGCUAUCAGAUGUGCCUAGGUGGGAUUAGCUAGGCGGUGAGGGAAUGGCUCACCUAGGCGACGAUCCGUAACUGGUCUGAGAGGAUGAUAAGUCACACUGGAACUGAGACACGGUCCAGACCCCUACGGGAGGCAGCAGUGGGGAAUAUUGGACAAUGGGCGAAAGCCUGAUCCAGCCAUGCCGCGUGUGUGAAGAAGGUCUUCGGAUUGUAAAGCACUUUAAGUUGGGAGGAGGGCAGUAAGUUAAUACCUUGCUGUUUUGACGUUACCGACAGAAUAAGCACCGGCUAACUCUGUGCCAGCAGCCGCCGUAA